GACGAACGCUGGCGGCGUGCUUAACACAUGCAAGUCGAACGGAAAGGUCCUGCUUAUGUGGGGUGCUCGAGUGGCGAACGGGUGAGUAACACGUGGGUAACCUGCCACUGACUUUGGGAUAACUUCAGGAAACUGGGGCUAAUACCGGAUAGGAGCUCCUGCUACAUGGGGGGGGUUGGAAAGUUUCGGCGGUUGGGGAUGGAAUCGCGGCUUAUCAGCUUGUUGGGUUGGUAGUGGCUUAGCAAGGCAUGGACGGGUGGCCGGCCUGAGAGGGUCACCUGCCCCGUUGCGCCUGGACUGCGGCCCAGCCUCCUACGCGACGCGACGGUGCGGUGUAUUGUCUUAUGGGCUGAACCCUGAUGCAGCGCCGCCGUGUGCGGUAUGUCGUCCAUCGGGUUGUAUUCCGCUUUCCUUUGUGCCGAGGCGUUAGUGACGGUAAUGGGUAAAGAAGCACCGGCUAACUACGUG
rnacentral:rRNA from 1 species